CUUCAUGAGGUUCCUCUCGGCCUAGCCCUCCAGCCUGUUGAGGUCCCUCAGAAUGGGAGCACAGCCCUCUGAGGCAUCAGCCUCUCCUCCCAGCUUUGUGUCGUCAGAAUGGAGGGCCCAGGGCUGGGGGCAGCGCACUGCAGGCCCGCGUGUCAGGGGGACACCAGGCCCCGUCACGGUUCUCUGCCACUUGGGCUUUCUUCGUGCCCCACUGCCACUGCCACUUCGUGCUCCCAGCCACUGCCUUGAAGAGCCCUGCUUUCCUAGCUGGCUCUUAGGCUUUUCCUUUUUUUAAAAAUGUGUCUCAGAGUAUCUGUCUGAAUCUGUCACUUGGCCUCUUCUAAUGCAUGUUUUUUGCUUGAAAUCUGUCUUUAAGGGUGUUGGUUCAAGUGCUUUUGAACACACCAACUUACAAAACGGCAGGAAAAUGCUCUGCUUGCAAAGUCCCAUUUCCACAAGCAGAGGUGCUCUGAAGAGCAUAACGUUGUAACCCAUUGGUCUAACAACACUUUUUUCCUCUGUCAGAGGGCUAAGGAGAGGGUUGGGGUGGGAAAAUAACACUGCCCAAGGUAAAGAUCCUACCCCAACACACAUGCUUGGCCUGACAGAGAGGAUAACUGGGGAUGGGUCACAGACAACCAAUACCCUUCAGUAAGAUGAAGCUGUUCACCUGGUUGUGCUGUCACAGCUGAUGUCACUAAGGACACCCUUUAUCUUCCCACCAGCAGUUACAAGCUCAGGUUUUUCCUUGCAUGCCUGUGUUGUAAGGUCUGUUUGCUGUGGUAGAGAGGGGCAGCUCUGAAGGUAUCUUCUGGUGGUAGAAGGCUUGUUUCUGAACUUCCAACAUUAAAGAUAUAACUGGCUUAUGGAGUAGGCUGCAGGUACAAGCUGGACCUAGAAACGACAACAAGAGAGGUGUUCAAGCCAUUUCGCUUAUGUAGAACACGGGAACAAUUCAAAUUCCUCUUCAGCUGUGUCAGUCAUCUCCAAAGUCGACACCUGCGGCUGUGUUAAAUUAUAAAGGAGCUCCGAAAAUGAGAGGGGAUGUACUUAUCAUUAAUAUCGUGCAGAUUAUGCUCUCUUCAAAUGGGAGAAAUGCCUGAUGUUUAACAGCUGGUCGAAGGAGAUGUACAAUCUCUGGACAACAUUCUUCCACUACUGUAGAAGACAGUUUCCAGAAAUCACUUCUAGAAAAGCAGUGGCUGUUUUCAAAGGGAAAGGCAGAGUGCAUCUGUGACAUCUUCUCUUCUGGCUGCGUUUUGCAAGCUGGGGUGGAAUUUUGCCAGUGACCCAAUGCCAUGCGGCAGUAGCCCUCGGCUGCCUGUGCCCGAGCAUCAGAGCUACAGCAGCAACUACUCUGCUCUACCAAUUGCAGAUGGAUCACAGCAGUGGAAAUACAGGCAAGAAACACAUUUCCUGUAUCUUUAUCAGUCUUCAGCACAUUAUUUCAUAGUGGACUUCUACUGAAUGGGCUGUUGCCGUAGCAAUGUUGGUGUAGAGAAUGAAGUGGAAGAAAAUCUUGUAGAGAAGCAGUUGGCAGCAGUCUGGUUUAUACCUUCCACAUGUAAGAUAAGUAGCCUGAUUGAAGCUGUCUGUCAAAAUUUGGCUAGAGCUAUUAGUUUCACCUGGCAUAUUCUACCACAAGUGUGUGUCAUAUUUUCAUGUGGAUUGUUUUUUAAAGCUGAAAGCAGGGAGGGAUUUGCUUCUUUUACAUUUUCUGUACCUCUACCUAGAGAAAGGUAGGAAGUCAAGAUGGAAAACAUCAUGUAGAGGGAUAAGCUGUCUGAUAAUUAUAUAUUUUCAUCUGUCACUUUCUCAGGCAAUUGCCUGAUAACCUAAUGAAUUUGUUUGGUUUCUCUACUGAUAAUUACAAAAUGUUCAGGAGUUGUUAAUAUUUCUUAUUUUUAUUAGAGUUGAAGCUAGUUCUUUUGAGACGUUUGCUCAGUUGUAAACUGUAACUUUUGUUUGCCAAAUCUUUUGACUACCAAUGACCUUUGAAUCCUGAAACCAGAGCAAAUGUUCUAGGUCUUUCCUGUGAAAUACCACAGUAAACUUGAAAAAGAAACAUGCUAUGAAGGAUGGUGAGCCACAUAACAAUAGAUGCGUUAUGUGUUUAUAGUCUCUUUCAAAUGAUGAGGUUUUUAGAAUGUACUCUAUAUGGUGAUUAUAGAAGUACCUAAAUAUUAUGAUGUUCUGUAUGGUUCUUGAGGCACAUAACUUUGUAUUAGCUUCUACAACAGAAUACAACUAAUAUAUUUAACAUACUCUUUAGACCAUAAGCUUAAUUAUUUCAAGAGUAAUUUGUUAUCUUAUGGAAUAGCGCUGUGUACAGUAGGGGCUGUGAGGUAGUACAGUGAUUGGUGUAUCUGGAGUUAAUUGAAAGAUGGAGGGGAAAAUAAGGUUGAUUCAGUUAACUUUUGGCUUUGGAAAACCCACUUGUUCAUACCUGUUAGUGAUAGGUGUAAUAAGUGGUUCUCUAUCUGUUAAUUGCAACAUACCUCUGUUACUACAAGAGGUGCAAACUCUUUAGCUAUAAGAUUAAUAUUUUUAGUGGCUGAUUUGAUAAGCUGAAGCCCAUGGUGUGUGUUCUGAUGAGCUACUAGUAGAAAAAAAUGUACUUGACACUUUAUUUGGAAAGCUGUUCUCUAGAUUUGUUUUCUAGCACUUUGGAAAAUUUUGUCCAAGAAAAGCAGAUGCCUGCCCUGCUUAUAUACAGCGUAGCCACUUCAUUGUAUAAUCAAUUAACGCUACUUCUCAUUCAAAGAAUAGACAUAGAAUGGAUCGCAGUUCUAUUACCAUUUAUAUUUCUCAAAUAACUACUCAUAGGAAGAAGUAAAAAAUAAUGUGUAUACUGGCUGUGCAUUUUGACUUUUGCUAAAGCAGGUAUACUGUGAGCUGGCAUUAAUAGGAAGGGUCCAAACUGGAAGUGGACCAGAGCAUUUUGUCUAAUUUUAGACCUAGCUAAACUUCACACAUCUCUCCUGAUUUACUGUUUUACUUAUGAGAAGAGUGGCUGUGGGUUUUAUUUUUAAUAAUAAGUGAAAUAAAAUGAAAAAGAACAGGGGAUGUGGAAAAGAGGAAAAAUCUUCUAUUAUCAAGAUUAAAAUCUUCAAAUUCUUGUUCUUAAUGAAGCUUUUCAGUUUAUUCAUAUUAGUACUAGAAUAGCAUAGAAAAACUCUCCAUAAAAUGACCGUGUUCACCAUCCCCUUUCUCAAGAAAGCACAGUCUAAAAAUGAAUAACUCCUAUUGCCGUGGAAACUUCCGAAAUCUUGUUUAGUUUUUGACAGUCACAAUGAUGCUUUCUGUAAAAGGUGUUCCAGCUAUCCUGAAGCGCAUUUCUUAUGUCUUCACGAAGCCAAUGCAACAAUGCUUUGGUAUAUCUGGUACCCAGCAAUGCUGACAGAAGAGUAAAUCACAUGUACAGUAAUUGAGCCUUCAAUCUAUCAAUCAGCUAACGGUAGAGAUUGGGAGUAAUUAAUUGCUUUAACCAGACACAGGAAAUAAUUGAUGGAUUAAUACCUAUGGCAUCUGCACAGUAUUGAACAAGAUGUGGCUUGUUUCACUCUUUUCUUGAAGUGUGCACGUUAUUAGUCAAUACUGAUGAAAUCAGUGAUGUGAUUUCAAAGUUGGAGCUUUUCUAUUUCUGUCCUAUCUGAUCUAGUAUUAUUAA